AGUGGCCUGAAUGAGCUCACUUAGCUGUGAUGGAGAGGAAAUGUUUUUGAGAAACAUUUAGAUUCUAAAUGAUCUUCUAGCAUCUGUCCUGGAAGUUUAAAGUUAUUUCAAAAUAAAUUAAAAAAUCUCCUGGAUAAAAUGCUCUUUCUUCUAAAGAUAAAAAGCUCAUGACUUGGGGAAGCAGCUGUGGCUCAAGCAAUUGAGCUCCUGUUUACCAUAUGGAGGACCUGGGUUCGAUCCCUGGGAUCUCCUGGUCAAAAAGGAAAAAAAGGUAUCCCAGACUUGUGCAGAGAGACCCAGGCUCCCAUGUGCCAAGAAGAGGAUGAUGCAACUGUAUAGGAAAAGAAAAGAUCAUGACUUGAGUGAACAGCUUUUGCAGGGCAGUGGCCAAGUGCUCCUGAGCACUAUACAGCUGCUCUUCAACUGGGUGGAUCCGACAGUUCCAGGAGGCUGCCUCAGCCUCAGCCUGUUCCCGGACCUGCUUUUCUCCCUCCACUUUCCAUUGGAGACCCCCAGCUCUCUCAGCAUCAUCCAUCAUUGGCUGGCCGCUGUAGAACCUGGAUCUUGCACUUCACUGCCUCGAUGGUGAUGAUCCCGGUGAUGACGCCCAUCCAACAACUGCUCCCGGCUAGGUUUCCUGCCUCCUCAGCUUGCAGCAGCUUCUCACCCUUCCUUCCCAACAAAUGUAUAUUUGAAGGCUGGUUAGGAUAUCACCUUUUUUUUUCCUUCCAAGUUAGGAGAACUGUAUUAAAUUGUUAAGUGUGGUGAUAAGAGGAUAUCUUUGUUGCUUUUAUAAUAAUUCUAAUGUGAUAUUGCCUGAAUUGGGGGUGGGGGGUGGGCAGACACUCCUUAGGCUCUUCUUUUAACUGUGCUACAAUCAAGGGUUCAGCAAACUUCAAGGACACUCGGUUGUUGACUUAGAGAAAGUUCAAACUCCUUAGAGAAAGGCAUUCAUUGAAGACUCUCUACAAUUGCUUACAACCUACCUUUCAAAUUAUAACUCCACUGCCACUCCAAAAUGAAUCUGUAGUUAAAUUGGUGUGCUCACUAUCUCCUGAGUAUGUUUUAUUUUUCCACUUGGAUACCUUUCCUUUAGACAUGCACUGUUCUAUAUGGUAGUCACUAAUCACAAGUAACUGAGUCCCUGAAAUGUGGCUAAACUGGAGG
rnacentral:lncRNA from 1 species